GGGUGGGGAGCCGAGAGCAAAGGAGAAGACACCAGAGAGGAGCCAGCCGCGGAGCACCCACACUGGCAGCGGCUGGAGCGCGGGCAGCCUGGAGACCACCUGAAGGGAGCGUCAUCCUUUGUCCUCACCACCACACCUACCUGGCUGUCACCACGGGCCAGGCCCAACAAGAAGCAUCUUUGUUCAAAACAGAGAGACAUUUACCACUGCAACCAGGGCAUCUUAAAGGAAAAAGGAAAUUGAUGAUGGUAUAAAAGAAGGUCAUUAUAUUGGAAAAGAAGUAUAAAAAAAGUGGAAAUCAUGAAGCUGCAAAAGAACUCAGCGGAAAUAAAGAGAAAAAAAUCCCUGAUUUCCGAGCACAUUUUAUAUCCUGAACCAUUUUAUAGAAAUGAAGGAACUAAUUUAUUUUUAUAACACAUUCCAAGUGUCACACAGAAAGUUUUUAUGCUUCCAAGUACUCAGCGAGUAUUAUGAGCUGGGAACCAUUUUAAAAGAGUACAGAAUGGAAAGAGCAAAAAGGAGUAACUUUAUGCUGGAAAAACCUGUCAGGCACUGUUCCUUAGCCAGAUGAUCAAGGUCAACACCAGUAGUGAUGACUCAGGGAGCAGCUGGGUUUACCCAAGAGCAUGUCUGGUACAGAUGACAGGCUACAGUGGUCAGCAAGGAAGGAACCCUACCUCAGUACCUAGAUGGACUUCAGUGAGGAGGUAGAUAAGUGAAGGAGCCCUGAUUCCUUGCAAACUUUGAUGGCACUUGGUUUGGAAAUGGUUUUUCAUCUGUAACAUGGAGCUAGUAAUAGAACCUUCCCGUGGUGAUGAAGAUUAAAUGAGGACUUCUGAAGGACCAGAACAGUGAGUGCUCAGAACAGUGAACCGUCAGUGCCAGUCAUUGCUACAUUUGCUCUUGAUCCAGCUCCAGGAGUUCAGUCGCAGAUCUGAAUUCUCCCCAACAGCACAAACAGAAUGAGAUCCUCAUCCCUGACAGUGGGCUUUCUGGGGUAAGAUGUAUCCAGAAGACACAAUUUUCCUCCUAAUUCCAGGCACUGAUGUAUUCUGGGUCCUGUGUUCCGAGGAUUACCGUCAUUUUCUGCCAGCAUCACUCUCUCCACAGUAAAAAGAACUUUAGUUCACCCGCCUGAAAAGCCCAGGCUCACCUGGAGGUUAUGAUUAAGUAUUUAGUGGAGAAGUCAGAGCCUCUUAUGUAACUUGAAGUGUGUAAAGGAGCAAUGAUAAAACCGCUGCCCUGAACUUUUCCAAAGCACCAUCAAUCUCUCCAUGUUAGGAGUUUCCAGUCGUUGCCAAGAUCAUCUCUCUAGUGACCUUUCAGUGGCUUAACAUUUUGUCGCAAUGCACAAGUGAAGCUGGAAAACCGCACCAAGUGACAAACUGUGAAGUAACAGCUCAGCCUUCACAGAGUGGAUAUGCUCUGUGCUAUUUCUGGCCAGAGCAGAUGUGGCCUUGAUGGACAGUGGGGAACGGCCUCUCGCAGGUAAAAAUAAAUUUAAAAGAUUAAAACCAAAAUGAUGCAAAUCCUUCAGCCAGCACACUUAUAAUAGAACUGGGAGUCAUGUAGAAGGACUGAACUUGGAAUCCAUCAGGAUCCUACCUGGUGGGCUUAGUCUAGAAGACUCCAGCAAUGAGCCGUUUGGCUUCAGGUUAGUCUCUAUGACUUAAAAUAUAUAUUUUUAAUCAACAACAGAAGAAUAAAAUAAUAAAACCGUAUAUGCAUCAUGCAGUUUGAACAAUCCUAACAUUUUGAUGGAUUCAUACCUGACAUAGUUGAAGUUCUUUGUAGAUUUCCCCUAAAUACCAUUUCCCUUUCUCACACCCCAAAGAUAAACACUAUUUUGAAUUUUCAUACUUUCUGUAAACACAUGCAUCUGUCCAUAACAUGUGCUAUCGUUUUGCAUAUUUUAAAACUUUAGAUCAAUGAGAGUACACUAUACAUAUUAUUCUACAACUGGCUACUUUUGAAUUUCAUAUUGUGUUCCAGCAGUUUAGCUUUUGGUUCAUUCAUUUGAACUGCUUUGUGGUAUAAUGCUUCAUAAUCAGACUACUAUAUGUUUAUCUAUUCUCCAGAUGAUGAACACUUGAAUCACUUCUAAUUUUAUGCUAUCAUAAACAAUGCUUCAAUGAGUAUUCUUGUGCAUCUUCUUGUCCUCUUCUCUAAGACAGUGGGGUUUUUAAAAUUAUUUUUUUUCAAAAUGUUUUGUCUAUACCCAAAUUAAAAGGUAUACUUUACAUGGAAACCCAGCCUAUGUAUAUGCUACACUUAUGUGUGUUUGUAUGUGUGCAAAAGUAUAUGGAACAUAAGUUUCUCAUAAUAAUACCGUUAUCUUCUAUUUAGUUUUAAUCCAGUUUAAGCUAGUCUAUUUUCUGCACCCAGGAAAUGCCAGUUGCAAUUUACCAAAGUGAUUGUAUAAUCCAAUGAAGCAUCUCCACUGACAAUCUGAAAAAACAUUGAUCUGGGAUACAUGCAUAGAUAGGGACUUACUGGGUCAUAGAUUGUGCCCAUUAUUGUCAAACGGGUAAGUUUGUCUUUGUGGGUUCAUCUUAUUGGAAUAUCUAAAUGGAUAUUUGUAUUUAGCUAGUGUUCUGUGUAUUUCUAGAAGAUGUCUUUUCAGUCUAUUUAGUGUGCCAUACAACUGGAAAUGGAAGUCGUAUUUUAAGGUUUCUGGGCUUCAGUUUUUCAUCUGUCACAAGAAGUCAUACACACAACACACACACACACACACACACACACACACACACACACACACACACACACAGGCACGCACGCACACACCAGCCUCUUAAGAAUUUUGCAAUCUAGAUUUUCAGUGUGGAUAGCCAGAGAAAUAAAAAGUUGUGCUCCAUUUGUGUACAAUGAGUCAAAAUGCAUUCUGCUGUCAUGCAUAACUAAUUAGAAUAAUAAUAAUAAUAAUAAUAAUAAAAGAAUUUUGCAAUCUAGUUUUUCUGCAGCCCCCAGGUCAUAGGGCGAACCUCAGGGUCUGUCACAGUGUGUGUGAGUUAGAAAAGAGGGAAGGAACUGGAGUGAGUAGAUGGAGUUCUGGGCCUUACACUCCCACCCCUACACAAGGAUCCCAAUUUUAAUCUUAUUGGUCUAUUAUAUUUCCAUUAGAUUUAAUUGGCAACAAAGGUUGCACAUCUUGAAAAUAUUCUUAAACUAUGGGUGUAGAGGUUCUUUGAGCUCUUUCCAGAUCUAAACUUGACUAAAAAUAACCUUUGAGUCUCUGGAUCAUUUAAAAUUGUAUCCAAAGUUAAAGAGGCUAGAGCUGAGGGAGUAGGGUUUCCUGAGCUGGAGUUGGGCAAACAGUGUUGGCCAAUACGCCUGAGAGUGAACCUAUUCUUCCUGCCAUUGCAGGAGCUGACUUGGAUAGGACAUUUUUUAGAGUCCCACAGGACAAAUUGGGAGCACUCUUGGGCCAGGGCCCAUACUUUGAGGACAGCCAUUUUUAAUCCCAUCGUAUGGGAUUUAUCUUCAGGACGUUGCCUUAAUAAAAGUAUUUUGUUUUCAUUGUGCUGCUUAUUCUGUGAAUAAGGACUUUAAAUAAAUUUUCCUAAAAUCCAUUUCUGCCCAACAAACUGUUCCACAUGCUCAUGAUGAAGCUCAUUUUCUCAGCAGGGUGCUCAGACAGUUAAACCAUUAUAUUCACAGAGAUGAAAUUUUAUUAUCGGUUUAAUGAAAAUCUUCAGCUCCUCCUGGGUUUAUUUUUGCUUUCCCAUAUAUAGCAGGAACAUAAAAACAAGAAGGAAAAAAAAAAAAAAACCUGGGUAGUAACUUGAUAGUCAAGUGAAUUAGGGGUGGGCAUGUGUUAAUUAAUUUAUAUAAAAUCAUAGCCCGCUCUCCUAUUACCCUGCCUUCUCCACCUCCCUUGGGCCUGGAUUUCAGCCUCCUCCCAGACUCUGGUUCUUCCCUUCAAUUUGUCCUGCUUGUAUUUCAUCUUCUUAAUCACUGUUUUCAUCACACCACUCCCCUGCUCAGAAACCCUCAAGGGAUCGUCAUUUCCCUCCACAUCAAAUCUAAACUCAGAGGCCUGAUUUCAGGGCUUCUCCCAAUCUGUUCUUUCCUUACACCUCCAGCUUUAUUUUCUUGCCAGAUACGCUUCUGGUUCUCAUGGGUUUGUAGAUGAUAUGGAAUUUUUGUACACCAAAAAAAUAAAAUAAAAUCGGUGUCAUUUUUCUUAGGCACAGUUCAGCCCAGUUGCCACAAACAAGAGCACACACACACAUCAACAGUCAUUACCUCCCCCACAGGUCAUGUGAUGUGGUUCUCUGGGGGCUGGGCUGGACACAGGCAGUGUAUGCACCUCUCUAUCUCUUAGGCUGUUCGUGAAAGGUGACUUUCUGGAGCUGUUUGUGAAAAGCUCUGCCAUUUUGAUAAGUCAGGCAGAAUGCAAAUGGCAUGCAGGCAAGUAAGAGAGACAAUGAAAUAUCAAGCCAGGAAAGCUGGCUUCAAAACUUGUAAAGAGGUGCACCUGUACCAGGGAAGACUCAGCUGAUCACAAAGUUCUGGGAAAAAAAAAAAUACUGCUGCAGGGGUAGGUAAAUGACAUUCAGGAGAAGGCUUAUUAUGUCUUGGAAGGGGGUUUUCUCUGUGAAGGUAGAUCAUUUUCAAAUUUUGUUUAUUGUCAUGUAUAUAUGUAAAUAAUGUUAUUUUUUUUUCUCUUUUUCAGUAAGUUUUGGCUCAUCCACUUAAUAGAACUGUAUGAUUUGGGAAAAAUUUCUUCAAGGGUGGAGGAACCUGGGAACCUUGACCUUUGAAUGGCAUCAGCCAUAUUGGCCACUGCCAUGUACAUCCUGCACCUUGGAACCAGUCCAGUCAUCACUGCAAGAACUCACCAGAUUUCUCUCUCACAUUCCCUAAUAAAGGGAUUUUAGUGUCUGCACAGAUGGGAAUUUUGCUGCCCCCCUUCUCAUUUCACACUUCCUGUACUUUCUUUGCUAAGUAUUCACAUUCCCCAAAUAGAACACAGUUGUUUGAAUCUGUGUGUGGGAAUUUCAUAGGAGAGUAGACAAGGUGUCUGUAGCUCCCUAUAAUUACCACACCUGAGUUAAUUUUCUUAUUGGUUACAAAACAGAUAAAGGAUAUAGAAGAGGGCUCAGAGGCCUCUCAAAGAACAGCAUUGGGUUUUCUUUCAUGAGAGGACCCAUGAUGGAGCAGGGCAUUAAUGCGGAAGUGUGAACAAUGAGGAAGGAGAGGAUAGGAACUUUUGUCUGGUCAGCUACCCACUAGUUCCCUUUGUGAAUCUCAUAUUCUCAUGAGGUCUUCUUCUGAUGGUAUCUCCCCUUCCUCUCUACCUUAUUUUAUUGAGCUUCCAUAUUCCUUUCUCCCUAGAUGAAUUCUCUUCGUCCUUCAAGGUCUAGUUCAAAUCUCACCUCUGCUGGGAAGACUUCCUGGAACUCUUGACCUAGAAGUGAUUUCCCUGUUGUAACUCUAAAACAAGAACACUAUAAAUGAAUUAUUAAAAUAAUUCAUUUAAGGAUCCUAUAUAUGGUUACCACCUUGCCUCGUCAUCACCAAAUUCAUUGAGACCUUUGUAAGGAAAGAGGCAAAUGGAAAUAAGAGAAAAAAGAAGUGAGGAGAGGUGUUCUAGAUGCAGACAACCUUGCAUUCCUGAGUCCUGGGUCCACCAUUUAUCAGAGCAGCUUUGCACAAGGUUCUAGGAUCCCUAUUUUAUAGGGCAAGGCAACAUGCUAAAGGAGGAUGGAGCCCUUCCCCCAGCCAGAAGGAAUGAAGGGUAGUCAGCUUAUGUCAAGCAUGGAAAUUUUAUUUUCCUUUCCCCAUGAUUGCUUUGGGAAUGGGAAAGGGACCCAGUUCUGAGCAAUAAGAUCAAAUGGAAAGUCUAGUGGUGGGCUCGACUCAGAAGCUUUUUGUUUCCUGCUAUAAAGAGAAGCAGCAAGUUCCGUCCUCCAUGACUUAGAUGCAGUUAUGUAUGAACGUGGUACCUGGAGCUGCAACAAUUAUUUUGUGAUCAUAAGCCCACAGUCCAAAGAGCAAAGGUAGAACAAUAAUAGAACGUGGAGUUUUUGAUGAUAUUAUUGAAUUGUUGAGCUAAUCUGGAAUGAUCUACAUCUAGACUUUCCAUGAUUUGUGAGAUGAUUAAAAUUUUCUAUUGUUGUAGCCAGUAUUUUUAUCUUACUUGCAACCAAAGGCAUCUUGUGUCAUAUAAACACUAUCCAACUUGUGUUGUAAUUUGUCCAUUUUCACAUUUGUAAGUUCUAUUUUUUAUUGAUUUUUGUAUUCCUAGCACUGAGUAUAAGACUGGCACUUAGUAAGACUUUAACAAUUGAUUGAAAAGGUGUUAGAUGCAGGAUUCAAUUUUAGGUUCUGUGAAACUUUGAUUGUCUCACUUCAAAUUCAUUUCUAUUACUAGGAAAAAAGAAUUAUUGAGAAGCACUAUGAAAAAUGUCCACAAUAAAAACAUAGAGUGUUACCUGUCAUGAAUAUAUAAAUAAUUACUGGUAUAGUGGCUACUGCUGAGAAAUGUCUCUUGAAGAUUCCCAGAAAUUCCUGUCAGUCACAUGAAGACCUAAGUCUCUGGUGAUCAUUCCUUCUGGACCCAAAUCAGUGUACGUAGCCAUGGAGUAUUUAAAGUGAUAUUGCUCUAGAAAACCUAGGAUGUGUGUUUUGUACAUUUAGUAAGGAUUUCUUUAAUAUCUUCUACUUACCAGGCACUUGAUUAAGCACUGCGGAUGAGAAAUGAACCACCACACAGCCCCUAUCCGUGAAAAGCUUAAGUGCCAAUACAAAGCUACGGACCUACAUGGAAGUGGUCACAAAUCUCAUGCCCAGUCCUCUUAGAAUAGCAUGCUGUUACCACUGAGUUAAUUAAGAAAACCAAAUUCUUAGGCAUUUAUCUUUGGCGAUGUUCACAAAAUGGUGAAAUGGAAACUUCCCAGGCUCAGCCUUCCUGAGCCAAGUCUGUUUUAGAAGGUGACUUUCUGCUGUAGUCACACUCAGCCUUCAACAUGAACCUCACAUCCUCUAGAGGCACUCCUAGCCCAGAGUGUGCCCUCUGCAUGGUUCUCCCAGAACAGCUAAUCCAAGGGGAAAAGGAGUUUGGGUGAAUAUUUGGGAAAAUUAUGGGUAGUGCCUUGCUUCCCUACCAAUCAGCACAUACAAAGAAAAUACUAAUCAGAGCCCAUUCUCCUCCUAGCCAACCAAAGGAGGCCAGAGCUCUAGUGCUCAGCACCAUUGGUCCCCCAGGCUCAAGAACUACCUCUCAGUUCCAAAUGGAAUUUAAGUGCACAAAAGCACCAAACUUAGAACAAUUUAUUUCCUCACUAAUCUGCCUUUUGUAGAAAUUGCUGGAAACUGUCAUUUCUAUCCCUCUCCCCUAACAUGAGCCUUCCCACCAUCCCUUAAAGACAUUUUUCUCUUCUCUCCCAUCAUUAAGCUUUUAGAGAUGUCCUGGCCUUCAGCUAGUUGCUCCAGCUGUAUUUUUUCUCCUUGGAGAGGCAUGGAUACCAGAGCCUUACUGGGAAUGAAUCCUAGUUCCUCCACUGAACAGCUGUCAGAUUCAAGUUAUGAUCACUCCCUGUGGCUCAGUUUCUACAUCUAUAAAAUGGAAAUUUACCACCUUUGCUCUCAGGGUUCCCAUCUUGGGCUUCCAGCUUGCAUCCCUGACCCCUUCUGAGCUGACCUCCUACAGUCACCCUUCACCACACAGACUCAUGUUUGUGGAACCACAAGUGUAACCAUCGCUGUAUUCAAGACUCAUCUGCAAAUGGUUUAUGCACUUUGUGGAACAAAAAAAGUCUUAAAACUGUGUAUGUACUAUAUGUGCCUUUUUAUGUACAGAUGUUACACUUCAAUAAAUAAUUUGUUUAAAAUCUUUA